AGGGGUAUCGGUUAACGGCAAACCAACGGUCUCCAAAACCGUGACUCUAGGUUCGAGUCCUAGUACCCCUGCCA
rnacentral:tRNA from 1 species